rnacentral:rRNA from 1 species
UACGUAGGGUGCAAGCGUUAAUCGGAAUUACUGGGCGUAAAGCGCGCGUAGGCGGCUUUUCAAGUCGAUUGUGAAAUCCCCGGGCUUAACCUGGGAACUGCAGUCGAGACUGUCUAGCUAGAGUAUGGGAGAGGGAAGUGGAAUUUCAGGUGUAGCGGUGAAAUGCGUAGAUAUCUGAAGGAACAUCAGUGGCGAAAGCGACUUCCUGGACCAAUACUGACGCUCAUGUGCGAAAGCGUGGGAGCAACAGGG